rnacentral:rRNA from 1 species
GACGAACGCUGGCGGCGUGCCUAAUACAUGCAAGUAGAACGCUGAAGGAGGAGCUUGCUCUUCUGGAUGAGUUGCGAACGGGUGAGUAACGCGUAGGUAACCUGCCUGGUAGCGGGGGAUAACUAUUGGAAACGAUAGCUAAUACCGCAUAAGAGUAGAUGUUGCAUGACAUUUGCUUAAAAGGUGCAAUUGCAUCACUACCAGAUGGACCUGCGUUGUAUUAGCUAGUUGGUGGGGUAACGGCUCACCAAGGCGACGAUACAUAGCCGACCUGAGAGGGAGAACGGCCACACGGGGACUGAGACACGGCCCAGACUCCGUCGGGAGGCAGCAGUAGGGAAUCUUCGGCAAUGGACGGAAGUCUGACCGAGCAACGCCGCGUGAGUGAAGAAGGUUUUCGGAUCGUAAAGCUCUGUUGUAAGAGAAGAACGAGUGUGAGAGUGGAAAGUUCACACUGUGACGGUAUCUUACCAGAAAGGGACGGCUAACUACGUG